UUAAGUUAUUAAGGGCGCACGGUGGAUGCCUUGGCACUAGAAGCCGAUGAAGGACGUUACUAACGACGAUAUGCUUUGGGGAGCUGUAAGUAAGCUUUGAUCCAGAGAUUUCCGAAUGGGGAAACCCAGCAUGAGUUAUGUCAUGUUAUCGAUAUGUGAAUACAUAGCAUAUCAGAAGGCACACCCGGAGAACUGAAACAUCUUAGUACCCGGAGGAAGAGAAAGAAAAUUCGAUUCCCUUAGUAGCGGCGAGCGAAACGGGAAGAGCCCAAACCAACAAGCUUGCUUGUUGGGGUUGUAGGACACUCUGUACGGAGUUACAAAGGACGACAUUAGACGAAUCAUCUGGAAAGAUGAAUCAAAGAAGGUAAUAAUCCUGUAGUCGAAAAUGUUGUCUCUCUUGAGUGGAUCCUGAGUACGACGGAGCACGUGAAAUUCCGUCGGAAUCUGGGAGGACCAUCUCCUAAGGCUAAAUACUCUCUAGUGACCGAUAGUGAACCAGUACCGUGAGGGAAAGGUGAAAAGCACCCCGGAAGGAGAGUGAAAUAGAACCUGAAACCGUGUGCUUACAAGUAGUCAGAGCCCGUUAAUGGGUGAUGGCGUGCCUUUUGUAGAAUGAACCGGCGAGUUACGAUUUGAUGCAAGGUUAAGCAGUAAAUGUGGAGCCGUAGCGAAAGCGAGUCUGAAUAGGGCGUUUAGUAUUUGGUCGUAGACCCGAAACCAGGUGAUCUACCCUUGGUCAGGUUGAAGUUCAGGUAACACUGAAUGGAGGACCGAACCGACUUACGUUGAAAAGUGAGCGGAUGAACUGAGGGUAGCGGAGAAAUUCCAAUCGAACCUGGAGAUAGCUGGUUCUCUCCGAAAUAGCUUUAGGGCUAGCCUCAAGUGAUGAUUAUUGGAGGUAGAGCACUGUUUGGACGAGGGGCCCCUCUCGGGUUACCGAAUUCAGACAAACUCCGAAUGCCAAUUAAUUUAACUUGGGAGUCAGAACAUGGGUGAUAAGGUCCGUGUUCGAAAGGGAAACAGCCCAGACCACCAGCUAAGGUCCCAAAAUAUAUGUUAAGUGGAAAAGGAUGUGGCGUUGCCCAGACAACUAGGAUGUUGGCUUAGAAGCAGCCAUCAUUUAAAGAGUGCGUAAUAGCUCACUAGUCGAGUGACACUGCGCCGAAAAUGUACCGGGGCUAAACAUAUUACCGAAGCUGUGGAUUGUCCUUUGGACAAUGGUAGGAGAGCGUUCUAAGGGCGUUGAAGCAUGAUCGUAAGGACAUGUGGAGCGCUUAGAAGUGAGAAUGCCGGUGUGAGUAGCGAAAGACGGGUGAGAAUCCCGUCCACCGAUUGACUAAGGUUUCCAGAGGAAGGCUCGUCCGCUCUGGGUUAGUCGGGUCCUAAGCUGAGGCCGACAGGCGUAGGCGAUGGAUAACAGGUUGAUAUUCCUGUACCACCUAUAAUCGUUUUAAUCGAUGGGGGGACGCAGUAGGAUAGGCGAAGCGUGCGAUUGGAUUGCACGUCUAAGCAGUAAGGCUGAGUAUUAGGCAAAUCCGGUACUCGUUAAGGCUGAGCUGUGAUGGGGAGAAGACAUUGAGUCUUCGAGUCGUUGAUUUCACACUGCCGAGAAAAGCCUCUAGAUAGAAAAUAGGUGCCCGUACCGCAAACCGACACAGGUAGUCAAGAUGAGAAUUCUAAGGUGAGCGAGCGAACUCUCGUUAAGGAACUCGGCAAAAUGACCCCGUAACUUCGGGAGAAGGGGUGCUCUUUAGGGUUAACGCCCAGAAGAGCCGCAGUGAAUAGGCCCAAGCGACUGUUUAUCAAAAACACAGGUCUCUGCUAAACCGUAAGGUGAUGUAUAGGGGCUGACGCCUGCCCGGUGCUGGAAGGUUAAGAGGAGUGGUUAGCUUCUGCGAAGCUACGAAUCGAAGCCCCAGUAAACGGCGGCCGUAACUAUAACGGUCCUAAGGUAGCGAAAUUCCUUGUCGGGUAAGUUCCGACCCGCACGAAAGGCGUAACGAUUUGGGCACUGUCUCAAC
rnacentral:rRNA from 1 species